rnacentral:rRNA from 1 species
UGGGGAAUAUUGCACAAUGGGCGAAAGCCUGAUGCAGCAACGCCGCGUGAGUGAUGAGGGUCUUCGGAUUGUAAAGCUCUGUCUUUUGGGACGAUAAUGACGGUACCAAAGGAGGAAGCCACGGCUAACUACGUGCCAGCAGCCGCGGUAAUACGUAGGUGGCGAGCGUUGUCCGGAUUUACUGGGCGUAAAGGGUGCGUAGGCGGAUGUUUAAGUGAGAUGUGAAAUACCCGGGCUUAACUUGGGUGCUGCAUUUCAAACUGGAUAUCUAGAGUGCAGGAGAGGAGAAUGGAAUUCCUAGUGUAGCGGUGAAAUGCGUAGAGAUUAGGAAGAACACCAGUGGCGAAGGCGAUUCUCUGGACUGUAACUGACGCUGAGGCACGAAAGCGUGGGUAGCAAACAGGAUUAGAUACCCUGGUAGUCCACGCCGUAAACGAUGAGUACUAGGUGUAGGAGGUAUCGACCCCUUCUGUGCCGCAGUAAACACAUUAAGUACUCCGCCUGGGAAGUACGAUCGCAAGAUU